CUGUGUGACAUUUGCACUUCUCUCUUCUCAGGUGUUAAUCUCUCUCUCCUCAGAUAUCUCUCUCUCUUCCUCUCUCUCCCCCUCCUUUCCACUACUGCUCCGCUUCCACCGUUGCGCCGCCUCCGAACUCCACCGACAGCAACUCUUCAUCUUUUCUCCCUCCCAGAUCUCAGAUCUCAGAUCUUCUCUCUCCUCCGAUCUCCACCGACAGCAACUCCUUCUGCCUCUCGAACCCGGCUUGCAAGGUGCGGUUGCAGAUGAAUCCAAACUUGAGAAGAGGAGCAAUAGUGGAAAUGAGAAAAAUUGCUUCAGAAGAGGGAAUAACGGCUCUCUGGAAUGGGGUUGGCCCUGAUUAGUUUAGCAGAGGGAAUAGCAGCUUGCAACAUAUGAUGAAUCCAAGCGGGUCAAGUUCUAAGCAUGCUAUUUUUCACUUUGAAUAUCCACGACGUUUUGAUAAGGUGGAUCUCAUGUAUGGCUUCUAGCUGUUCCACUUCUCCUUAUUAUCUAUUAAGUAGUGCACAUUGAAUUUUAUUGAGUUUUAGUUUUCUCGAAACAAGUACCGUUCAAGCAAAACCCUAAGGUUGUGUUUGGAUCUAUGAUAAUUUUAUAAUGUUUUCA